CCUGUGGCGACUUGGCACAAGCGCUGCAUUAGUUCUACGCAACAGACAUACAGCCCGACCUUCAACGACGAAGGGCAGGCUUCCCGAGAGAACGGGACCGGACAAAGGCGUCCUCGCUAGGCAACUAGCGGGACGCC
rnacentral:sRNA from 1 species